UGAUUCAGUGCUACUGACAUUGUAAUUUUUUAAUGCUAGCAGUUCCAAAACACUAAGUGCUGUAUGUACACUGUUGCGCAGAUUACUCUUAAACUAUCAGUAACUAACAUAAUACAUUUCUAGCAAAAUGGAUAUAAAAGGAAAAAAAGCGAAAUGUAGAAAUUAAGAUACAUUUCGUUGGCUCCCACAGAUGCUGUGGAUCGAUUUCCCCAUUUCUUUUUCUGCAGCUAGUUUUUCUCUCGAGUGCCGCACAGUUGAAGUACAGCCGGCUGAAUUUCACAAAGGAGAUGCUACCACCCCUUACUGGAGAGCGCCUGACAUUGCGACUGCCAGAAGUAGCAGGAACAUGCGUUGUGCCUUAAAAUCAGUGCCUGGCUGAUCGCUUAAACCUUCUACCUGUGCUUGUGGGUGUGAUUUGGACUGCACUAAGAGAAACACAGGUUCUGCUUCAGCUCCACAGACCAGCCCUACUUGAACAGAAGGUAAAGGUGCCCAGCGAGAAGCACCCAGAUACUACAAAAGUUACAAAGCGGUCUGACUAUUCUGUUCAUUCUGUUCCUUCCAGUACUGCGAAGGGAAAAACAGGUGAUCAAUCUUCAUGAUCCGUUCCGUGGCGAGCUGGGAAAAAAAAAUGCAGUUGCUAAUCAAUGUCUGAACAGUCUGAAGCUCCGGAAGAGAUCCAAGGAGUCACUAUCAAACUAUCCUGUAGCAUGAGAUCAUU